UACAGAGGUCCCAAGCGUUGUUCGGAUUCACUGGGCGUAAAGGGUGCGUAGGCGGUCGGGUAAGUCUGAUGUGAAAUCUCACAGCUUAACUGUGAAAACUGCAUUGGAUACUAUUCGGCUUGAGAGUUGGAGGGGGGACUGGAAUUCUUGGUGUAGCAGUGAAAUGCGUAGAUAUCAAGAGGAACACCAGUGGCGAAGGCGAGUCCCUGGACAACUUCUGACGCUGAGGCACGAAAGCUAGGGGAGCAAACAGG
rnacentral:rRNA from 1 species